UAACCUACGGGGGGCAGCAGUGGGGGAUAUUGGACAAUGGGGGAAACCCUGAUCCAGCGAUGCCGCGUGAGGGAAGAAGGUUUUCGGAUUGUAAACCUCUGUGGAGGGGGACGAUAAUGACGGUACCCCUUUAGGAAGCCACGGCUAACUACGUGCCAGCAGCCGCGGUAAUACGGAGGAUGCGAGCGUUAUCCGGAUUUAUUGGGUUUAAAGGGUGCGUAGGCGGUUUUUUAAGUUAGUGGUUAAACGUCGGGGCUUCACCUUGAUUUGCCAUUAAUACUGUAAGACUCGAGUUCAGACGAGGG
rnacentral:rRNA from 1 species